GAUGAACGCUGGCGGCGCGCCUAACACAUGCAAGUCGAACGGCACCCCUCCUCGGAGGGAAGCGAGUGGCGAACGGCUGAGUAACACGUGGAGAACCUGCCCCCUCCCCCGGGAUAGCCGCCCGAAAGGACGGGUAAUACCGGAUACCCCGGGGUGCCGCAUGGCACCCCGGCUAAAGCCCCGACGGGAGGGGAUGGCUCCGCGGCCCAUCAGGUAGACGGCGGGGUGACGGCCCACCGUGCCGACAACGGGUAGCCGGGUUGAGAGACCGACCGGCCAGAUUGGGACUGAGGCACGGCCCGGACUCCUACGGGAGGCAGCAGUGGGGAAUCUUGCGCAAUGGGGGGAACCCUGACGCAGCGACGCCGCGUGCGGGACGGAGGCCUUCGGGUCGUAAACCGCUUUCAGCAGGGAAGAGUCAAGACUGUACCUGCAGAAGAAGCCCCGGCUAACUACGUG
rnacentral:rRNA from 1 species